UACAAUGGCGUGGACAAAGGGAUGCCACCUGGCGACAGGGAGCGAAUCCCAAACCACGUCUCAGUUCGGAUCGGAGUCUGCAACCCGACUCCGUGAAGCUGGAUUCGCUAGUAAUCGCGCAUCAGCCAUGGCGCGGUGAAUACGUUCCCGGGCCUUGUACACACCGCCCGUCAAGCCAUGGGAGCCGGGGGUACCUGAAGUCCGUAACCGCGAGGAUCGGCCUAGGGUAAAACUGGUGACUGGGGCUAAGUCGUAACAAGGUAUC
rnacentral:rRNA from 1 species